GAUGAACGCUGGCGGCGUGCCUAAUACAUGCAAGUCGAGCGAACGGAUGAGAAGCUUGCUUCUCUGACGUUAGCGGCGGACGGGUGAGUAACACGUGGAUAACCUACAUAUAAGACUGGGAUAACUUCGGGAAACCGAAGCUAAUACCGGAUAAUAUUUUGAACCGCAUGGUUCAAUAGUGAAAGACGGUCUUGCUGUCACUUAUAGAUGGAUCCGCGCUGCAUUAGCUAGUUGGUAAGGUAACGGCUUACCAAGGCAACGAUGCAUAGCCGACCUGAGAGGGUGAUCGGCCACACUGCAACUGAGACACGGUCCAGACACCUACGGGAGGCAGCAGUAGGGAAUCUUGCGCAAUGGGCGAAAGCCUGACGGAGCAACGCCGCGUGAGUGAUGAAGGUCUUCGGAUCGUAAAACUCUGUUAUUAGGGAAGAACAAAUGUGUAAGUAACUCUGCACAUCUUGACGUUACCUAAUCAGAAAGCCACGGCUAGCUACGUG
rnacentral:rRNA from 1 species